rnacentral:rRNA from 1 species
UACGUAGGAUGCGAGCGUUGUCCGGAAUUAUUGGGCGUAAAGCGAACGUAGGCGGUUUCUUAAGAUUGGUCUUAAAGACCGGGGCUCAACCCCGGGACUGGAUCGAUAACUGGGAGACUGGAGGACGUCAGAGGAAAGUGGAAUUCCGAGUGUAGCGGUGAAAUGCGUAGAUAUCGGGAGGAACAUCCGUGGCGAAGGCGGCCACCUGGACCGAGCACUGACACUGAGGCACGAAAGCGUGGGGAGCAAACAGG